CGUCGGAAUUCUGGUGGACGUGGGGAGAACGCUGACGCUGGGAAAGGUGCUGCGAAAGUGGCGCGCUGUCGCCAGCUGUCACCGCUUGGCUCAGACGGAACUUGAGAGGGUGGAGGCGGAGGAGGUACUGGCGAUGGAGGAGGCAUUGAGGCACUCCGAGGAGAAGACUGGAGGAGGCUUCCAGGACCCCGGCAAAGUCGACUCCCCUCAGACAGACCGCGUGUCUGCUCUGCCCACGACGGUGGCUCUGCGGAUCCUCGGGGAACUAAGUGCUUAUGAUCGAUGUCGCUGCUCGCUCGUCUGCCGAGCAUGGAAGGUGCUGACAUCUAGUGGGCUCCUCUGG